UACGGAGGGUGCAAGCGUUAUCCGGAAUCACUGGGCGUAAAGGGCGCAUAGGUGGUCUGUUAAGUCUGGCGUUAAAGCCUGGGGCUCAACCCCAGAUCAGCGUUGGAUACUGGCAGGCUAGACGGUUGGAGAGGCGAGUGGAAUUACCAGUGUAGCGGUGGAAUGCGUAGAUACUGGUAGGAACACCCAUUGCGAAGGCAGCUCGCUGGACAACACGUGACACUGAGGCGCGAAAGUGUGGGGAGCAAACCGGAUUAGAUA
rnacentral:rRNA from 1 species